AUUGAACGCUGGCGGCAGGCCUAACACAUGCAAGUCGAACGAGUGGCGGACGGGUGAGUAAUUUCUGGGAACCUGCCUGAUGGAGGGGGCAAACGACUGGAAACGGUGGCUAAUACCGCAUACCAUCAGAUGGGCCCAGAUGGGAUGAGCGUGUUGGGGGGGUAACGGCUAACAAAGGCGACGAUCCCGAGCUGGUCUGAGAGGAUGACCAGCCACACUGGAACUGAGACACGGUCCAGACUCCUACGGGAGGCAGCAGUGGGGAAUCUUGCACAAUGGGCGCAAGCCUGAGGCAGCUAUGCCGCGUGUAUGAAGAAGGCCUUCGGGUUGUAAAGUACUUUCAGCGGGGAGGCGUUACCCGCAGAAGAAGCACCGGCUAACUCCGUGCCAGCAGCCGCGGUAAUUC
rnacentral:rRNA from 1 species